rnacentral:lncRNA from 1 species
UGUCAUGUAAGUUUAACGAUCAUAUACCCCGUACGGGAACAGCAUACUUUUGCCAAUCCAGCAUUUAUGCAAGAUUUUAGUUAAUCAAUAUAAAGUAGUGCAUCUACAGCACAUCACGCGCUGUGACAAAGCAGGACGAUUUCCUUCGGCUUAUCCAACGGCUUCGACUCAAGGAGCUCGAGAGCCCUUCGCGUCACAAUAUCAGCAGGUCAACGCGAUACAACUCGCUUGCAACACAAGCGCAACACGAACGCAAGACGCAUACUCUUCGAGUGGACGCCGAUGAAUUUCUUUUAUCCAAAAUGCUGUGCAGUAGGUCAUUUACAUUCCCA